UCUUUCUCACCCCCCGCUGGUCCUCCUCUUCUUCAGCCACACUAUCACCCAGUGCCGCACCUCCUCCUCUUCUAAACAUGUUGCGCCGACGAUGCACUCCACUCUCCUGGAGUGCACGCAGCCGUGGUGGCUGGCCAGACCCAGGGCAGCAAUCCUUAUCGGCGAGGAACCUAGAGACGCCAUGGAUGGCGCCGUGGAAGCACCUCGCCACGACCGCGCCGGCGCGAAGUCGCUCUGUAUUCUGCGAGCAGCCCCGCCUCCGACCCGAUUCGGACGGCCCCGCCCACAGCCUCCACCACCUAUGGCAUGCCCCUAGAGGUUCGGCCAAUCCCGCGUCGCUCAUCCUCAUUUCGUCCUCUGCUCGCGGCUCGCGUUGACCGCCUCGCCGUGGCCUGCUCCAGGCCACCAACCGGAGCCUGUCCAAGAAGUCCAGCCGGCCUUCCUCCCAGGCGCGCUCCUCGGCCAUUGCCGCGUGCUCCGCCAGCAGCUGCCUGAUGAGCCCGUUGAACUGGCGGUGCAUCCGGCGCAUCUUGGCCCAUCCACGACCCCGCCGGCAUGAAGUUGUUGAUGUUGAACAACCCCGUGCUGGUUAGGAGCGACAUGAUCAUCUCCUUGUAGCUGCUGGACUCGUCCUCGUCCCCGACCGCAGCGCUUGAGCCGAUGCCCCCUCUCUUCCAGCCUACAUCAACCGUGUUGUCAUAAUGCUUCCGCUUAACGAUCUAUCAGGCAGCCGGCGGCGGGGUGGAGGCGCCGUCCUGGGGAAGCAACCAAGUCAUGUCCUUCUUCGGGGUCCCCUACUUCAGCCUUUUCAAAGGGGUGCCCCAGACCUCGUGGCAAUCCUGGUGGAGCGCAGUGACCCCUCGACCAGGCGCUCGUCGGUGUUGUCAUCAUUAGAGAAGGCGCGGAGGAGCUCACUCUGCCACAGGGGAGAGGUCUCCCCCACCCCCUCCAAGGUCCCCUCCAAGUCCUCAUUCCCCUCCUGCCCGGAGAGAUCACCGGAGGACACCGGCACUCGGGAGCUCAGGAGCUGGCAAGGCUUCAGCAGUACGAGCCCCCGCUCGUUGAAGACGGGCAUGGCGGCGGUCACCUUCUCCCCAUCGUCAUGGCGGUACAAUGGGAGAUGGGCUUUUGGGGGCCGCCCUGGUCCUUCUCGAGCAAGGUGCGCACGGCCUUUCUCAGCUCCUUGUUAGACAGGUCGUUCGGGUGCAACCCGAGGUUGUCUUCGGCACCCUUUAAGCUCCACAGGGGGCGCGAGUGUGCUAGGAGCGGAGCCAGGCGCAGUGUUAGGGACUCCUUCAGGUCAACCGUCAUCUUCUCCAGCAAUUGCUCCGCCCGGGGGUCGGUGAGCUUCUCGUGAGCCCACCGGUCCAUCUUCGCUGGGAAGGCGGUCGGCAGCUCCAGCCGAGCAUGGGAGCGCUUGGCGUCCAUGAAGAUCCACUUGUGCUAGAAGACCUCCACCUUCUUCCUGGCCCUCGAGAUCGCGUUGCUGCCGUGAGGCACGACGAAGCUGGCGCACCCGAAGCACUGGGAGACGCCCAUCCCGAGGUUGAAGAAGUGACGGAAAAGCGCGACGGAGGGCAUCACCCCCUCGAAUGCCUUGUAAUAGAAGGCAAAGAUCGAUAGGAGGAGGAUGGAGUUGGGAUGAAGGUGAAGGGUGUGGAUCCGGUAAUUGUUGAGAAUGGUGAAGAAGGAAUAGGAGAAGGGGGGAUGAGUCCUGCGAAGACGUUGUGUAGAAAGAAGGGGUAAAACGUUUCACCCAAGGCUUCCGUCUUGGCGGAGCCAACACAGAGCAUCAUCUCUCCUCCCUCAUUGCCGCUGCACACCGUCAGACGGAGAACGGUGGCAAGGUGCUUCUCCUCAGCAAUGGUGGACGCGCUCAGGGCCGACACGGACCCAGAAGCUGAGCAUGCGACAGGGGCUGAUGACUUCGCCUUGUAGGUGGCCAUCGGUAGCGAGCUCGAAGAAGGGAUUCAACUGAUCUGGAGUCGUUCUGGGUAGAGGGAGAAGGGGAUCUAGAGCAGGAUGAAGGGAAGGCAAUGAAGGCUCAGGGGCAGUCGCCGGCCAUUUUGUUGGCCCGAGACAGUUGCCGAGGCCACAUGGGGAAGCUGAAACGCACACGUCACAUCAAUCUCCAUGCGUCGAUCGAGGUCGCAGGCGAUUUGGGCCCGCGGCGCUCCGCACUGGCCCUUUGGCUUCGCCUCGAAGCCAAGUUCGAGCGCGCCUUGGGUCCGGGGGCUACUGUUGGCAUUCUGGGAAUGGGAGUACCCAGACUUGCCUGCCUGCAGCCCAUGACGUGGCUCCUUUAACGUCCUGGUAUGGCCCAUCUUUAGCACCAACAACUCAAGACCCUCGCGAGGGGCCAAGCCUUGUGAGGCGGACGACACCAAGACCACCAGAAGGAGGAGCCUCCUCAGGAUGGCUCCUGAGGAGCGGAGAUUUCUAUGCAAGCCUCACCUCAUGAGGUUCGGAUGACGUGAGCCAUGACGACCAAGGCAGGCUGGUGUCAGCGGGCGCAGGACAACAGUUUCCUCUUUGGUGCUAAGGAGGCAAGCACAAGCGCGGAGUCCCGAGUAAUCAGCCAAAGGUUUCCAUUCCCAUGCAACACGACCAAGACCGCCAGGACGGUAGGAUGGAGGUCAUCAACAAGCCCACCGCGACCUCAUGACCAGAGGCUUUUGUAGUCGAAGACUAGUUUUGUCAGGAUAAGAUGUACUACUUGUCUCCGUUCGAAUUUGACCGUUGUGGGAUCCCUUCCCGCCUCUAUUUUGGGGGAAGAGGACCAAAGCCACUAUAAGUAGGACCAAGCCACCACCAUACAGGGGAUCCAAAUCAUUGAGAUCAUCCUCUCCCCCACUGGCUCAAGAACACACCUCCUGAGGUCAUUCUUCCAUUAUACUAGUUCAUCCUCAGCCCGCCUCGAGGUCAAUCCACCACAAAGCAGGAGUAGGAUUUUACACCGCAAGGUGGCCCGAACCUGGGUAAACUGAUGUGUCCUCUUUCCUUUUAGUUCGUUGAGCUAGGCCGUGGGAUCGACGGGUUAGCAGACUAGGGAGGUUAAGUUCUUCGCACACACCCCAUAGUUCGAAUCUAUCUAGGGUUUGCAGAGCCCGAAAUCCGACAGAAACUGCAGAAGCGGAAGACGAAUAUUGAGCCUUCGAUGAUGUUGAAUGUCCUUGCAACUUUAGGCUAGUAGCAAUGGAUAAUUGCGCGCCCAACCUUCGUCCUCUUCAGGAAGACUUCAAUAUUGUACCGUGGGUGUUGAAUGAAUACAUUCCUCGCCUCUUGACCAUGCAGGUGGUUUGAGAGGUAAUCGUCGUUGAACUACUUUGAAAAGUACUGAAAACAAAGAUAUGCAUAAAUCGUUGUUAUAAAUUUUGGAAUGGCCCAAGGGGUAAAAACAAGGUAAAAGAGUUAGUACCAUCCUAUAGUUGGCUGAUGUCUUCUUCAUUGUGCAAACAAAUAUCUAGCUAUUAUUCGUCACAAGUUUCUUUAUCCUAACAAUCUUUCUGAGUUUCUUGACUUGACUGAUAUUCAUGGACAUCUCAUUUCUCCAUUUGCAAAAUGGGUCAUAUAGUGGGUCUAAGCCUCUGACAGCAGGACCUACAUGUGCAAGACCAAAUUCUAAGAAACCUAAAUAUUAAAAUGAUUCAUGCAACUACACAAUAAUGUGCUAUUAGCGAAAGGACCAUGCAUGAGAAAACCUUGAUGGUAAACUGCAGUGCCUCCCAUUAUUUCCCUGCAACACAUAUAAGGAAGAUCUUGAUCAGGUUAAUUGAGACUUGCCAACCUAUCAGUAGAAUAUGUACUGAGUACAGCCAAACUCGAUUAUUUUCUCACAUGCAUAGCAAUACAAAAUUGUACCUACAACAAAUGAAAAUCAAAUUUCAGAAUUGAACCAAAUAGUAACUAGACAUCAGAACAAAUGAACCAAAACAGUUAACUGGGCAUGACAUUGCAGAA